GCUACAGGGGAUUGACUAUGCAGGAGAUGAUAUUAUUGGCACCAGAGCAGAGACUUUUUCCUGCAGUAGGGCUAGGUGAUAGACCCAUUAGUACAUUCUUCCUUCUUCUAGACUAGGCUGACCUUUGAGGAACCUGAGGCUGAUUUCUUUGUUGUUGAAGGUCAGGGAGGCUGUUAGUGCCUAUGUUUUGGCUGUUAAGAUGAGAGGAUGAUACUUUCCUGAUGGUUUGCUGGGGACAGGUAUCUGGAAUUGCUGCAAUCUCAGUGCUGUCUUUAGAUUUCCAUGAGGAUGGAGGGAAAGCCUUUCUAUCAAAUGACUCAGAGAGCACUAGGCCACUGUUUAUCGAUGAGCAACCCCCAGCAGACUUCUUGCCUGAUUGGAAAGGCUUAUUUUUGGGCAGGGUUCUUUGCCUUAACUCAUUCAGCCAUAGGCUAUAACCUCUUGCAGGAACUUUUUGAAUAAUUUUGGUACUUGUAAUCUUGCAAGGUCCAGUAUGAUUGAUAAUCAUGAUCCUCACUGAUUUCAGAACCCAUGACUCAGGGCCUGUCUUAACUGAGAUGCCACUGGAAAGUAUAAAAUACAGAACAAAAUAGCUAAAUACAUGAUGUAAUGUGAAUGGAAAUGAUGACUCAGGUCAUGAACCUUAUCUUCCAUUUGAUCUGGGGUGAUCUUUGCCUCAUGAAGUCCAAGAGCUAAAGCAAUAUAGUUGUUUAUUCUCCUCCCCCCUCCUCCUUAUUGUCUUAUUGUGGUUGGUUUAUUUUCUUUUUGAGACAGUACCUCACUAUUAUGUAGUCCAGGCUGGAGACUCCCCUGCCUCAGACUCCCAAGUGCAGGGAUCCAAGAUGUGCUUUGCUGGUUUGUAAAGUCCUUUCCUAAUAGACAUGCAUGCUCUGUCCACACACAGUGUGGCAAGGAGGUUUCAUGCUUUUAUUGCAAGACACAUGCCUUGGUAUUGAGAUUGAGUGACUGUGUGAGGGCAGGAGUGGCAGUACUUAAUUUCAACAGCCACAAUUGAUGACAUCCAUAGCAUAGGCAUUUCUCACCAAGAAUGUUAGAUGUGUGCUGGCUGAGAGUUCAGCAACAGAUACUAGCCACUAAAGCUGGUUCAUUUACUGAUUUGUGCAAGUGAGACACAGAAUAGGAGUAGGAAGUUGGGGGGAGUGUCUUAUGUGCAUCUGUGGUGGCUUUGGGUUUAAGUAAGCAAGAAUUUAUUUUGUGUGUUGAGACAGGAAGUGGAUUAUUAGGGGUCUAGGUCUGGGAGAGGCUUAGGGAUAAAGUUAAUAUGGUCUUUUGUGAGGUGGAAUGAGGAAGGGGCAGAUAGGCUAGCCUCAAGCUGGCAGUGCUGCUAAGGAUGACAUUAAGAUCUCUUUUGAGGCAACUAUUAGGUGAGAGUUUAGUAGCAGCAGUUUCCUGGAAAAUGGUACGAAGGCAACUAACUGUCUUUUGCUGUUUAUUUCUCACAGGCUGCACUGAUCAGAAGGUGGCUUUGUUAUGGAUGAUAAGGGCCAACCAAUUAAAAGGGACAAAAGAAGCUUGCUAAAGGAGUAUUACAGUCUAGAUAUAAAAUUUAACAAAUUACAGUUUGUUAUGUUUAUUCUUGGGUGGAUAAUAAUAGAUGAGGCAGGCUGGUGAGGUGGGAUAGGAGCCAAGAGGCCCAGGAAAGUAGAAAGGUGAAGAGAAGCUUUGGUGGAACCAUCCCCUCCUUUUCAACAUGAGGACUUGGUCUGCCAGGGGAGGGCAGCAGUGUGGCCUCCUGACAGGAAAGUGAAACUGCACCUCAAGAGG
rnacentral:lncRNA from 1 species